rnacentral:rRNA from 1 species
CUUUUUUCGGACCGGGUGAGUAACGCGUGAGAAUCUGCCUUCAGGUCGGGGAUAACAGUUGGAAACGACUGCUAAUACCGGAUGUGCUGUGAAGUGAAAGCUUAAUGUGCCUGAAGAUGAGCUCGCGUCCGAUUAGCUAGUUGGUGGGGUAAGAGCCUACCAAGGCGGUGAUCGGUAGCUGGUUUGAGAGGAUGAUCAGCCACACUGGGACUGAGACACGGCCCAGACUCCUACGGGAGGCAGCAGUGGGGAAUUUUCCGCAAUGGGCGCAAGCCUGACGGAGCAAUACCGCGUGCGGGAGGAAGGCUUUUGGGUCGUAAACCGCUUUUAUUGGGGAAGAAGCACUGACGGUACCCAAUGAAUCAGCAUCGGCUAACUCCGUGCCAGCAGCCGCGGUAAUACGGGGGAUGCAAGCGUUAUCCGGAAUUAUUGGGCGUAAAGCGUCCGCAGGUGGCGAUUCAAGUCUGCUGUUAAAGCGUAGAGCUUAACUCUAUAUCGGCAGUGGAAACUGAGUUGCUAGAGUACGGUAGGGGUAGCGGGAAUUCCCAGUGUAGCGGUGAAAUGCGUAGAUAUUGGGAAGAACACCAGCGGCGAAAGCGCGCUACUGGGCCUGUACUGACACUGAGGGACGAAAGCCAGGG